GCCCCAAACCAACAUGAUAAUGACAUAUUUACUACAGUACCAAGACCACAGGCCAGUCAUUUUUCAAUAAUCAAUAUAGUGUGCACUUACUAUGCAUGUUGCUUAGUGGGACUUCUGGCAUUCCUUCCCUUGAACAAUCCUCCUCAAAUCUGGCUCGUACUCCGUUGUUGCCACUCGAAGCAAUUCUUUCACAUGGGUGUCAGUCAUAACAGAGCGGUGUUUUGAUUUGACAUAUUUCAUGGUAGAAAACACAGACUCACAGACGUACGUUGAGCCAAACAUUGACAUGCCCGUGCAAUGUUCCAAGCCAGUUUAUACGAUGCAAGUGUUACUGUCUCUGACUGCUUCGUAAAUUUUUUGAAAACCUGUACCUGCUUUUCUGCCUGACUUUUCAAAGUGGUCAGCUUGUGCUUGCGAAGUUCAGUCCCUUUUGGAAAUUCCUGGUCAAUGUUAGCGUGGAGUGAGCUGAAGUGACGCUGAAGAUUUGAAGCCUUGAAAUGCACCAAUGACGACUGACAUAUAAGGCAGAAUGGCUUGCCAUUACGUUCGAC